rnacentral:rRNA from 1 species
UACGAGGGGGGCGAGCGUUGUUCGGAAUUAUUGGGCGUAAAGGGUGCGUAGGCGGCCUGACAAGUCUGAUGUGAAAUCCCUGGGCUCAACCCAGGGCCUGCAUCGGAAACUGUCGGGCUUGAGUAUGGGAGAGGUGAGUGGAAUUUCCGGUGUAGCGGUGAAAUGCGUAGAUAUCGGAAGGAACAUCAGUGGCGAAAGCGGCUUCCUGGUCCAGCACCGACGUUCAGGCACGAAAGCGUGGGGAGCAAACAGG